AUUAGAUACCCUAUUAUUUUUAAUGUAAAGAAGUUAGCUUGAGUAUUAAUAGUUAUGAUCUUGAAACUUAAAGAAUUUGGCGGUAUUAUAGUCUAUUUAGAGGAAUCUGUUAUAUAAUCGAUAGUCCACGUUGAACCUUACUUAUAUAAUUUUUUGUAUAUCGCUGUUUAUGAAUAUAUUUUUAGGUUAAAUUAUCUAAAUAUUACAAUAAAUAAAAUUUCAAGUCAAGGUGCAGUAAUAUAUAAGUUGAGUAAUGGAUUACAAUAAAUUUUAUUUAUAUGAAUUAUUAAUUUAAAUAUAGUUUGAAGGUGGAUUUAAUAGUAAUUUUAUGAAGAUUGUUAAGAUGAUUUUAGGCUCUAUAAUAUGCACACAUCGCCCG
rnacentral:rRNA from 1 species